UGUAAAGCACUUAGCACAAAACCCAACAUAUUAUUGAAUAUCAGGGCGUGUUCACUGAUGUCCUUACCGCCUAAGAGCCCUAUACAAGCCUUGACUCAUAGGGUAUAUUUGUCAUACACUCAUCAGCUGACUUGCUCAUGUCAUCUAGGGACUCUUUUAAACGGUGAGUACAUUUCCCAUCAUCUGAAAAGUUGUGGAUGAACAAUAAAUGGCUGGGAGAUUAAUAGAGCAUGGUGUCACCCAUCCAAAAGUGUGAACCCUCCUCCUAGUCACAUGGCUUACUGGGUCUUUUAUACAGUCAGCUGAUUUGUCAGCUCAGUCUUCUGCCUUCUCUUGGCUUCGUGAGCAUUGGGUGGAGGAGUAAGAAGAGCUAAGUGCUGGGCUCUGUUUCUCCUCCCCACUUGCUAGCAUGCUCAAUGCACCCUGUGGGUCAGCAAUUUGUGGAUGAAGCAGAGAAGCUCUAGCAAGAACCCAGAACUCAUACCUCUCUGAAAUGUGACUGGUCGCUCUAAGGCCCUGGGGUGGGAAGGUGCAGACCCACCCCCUCCCAUUGCAGCCCUUGGGUUAAGUAUCACUAAAUGCCUGUGGUUGAAUUCGUCUAAUUGACACUGGGUGAAAAUAAAAAUCAAGUCAGAAGAAUGGCUUAAAUAACUGAAAGUAAGGGGAAAAGCUGCCCUCAGCAGAGAGCUGUAACCUGCCAGGACUGAGGGAAAUUGUUUUUCUUCUUU
rnacentral:lncRNA from 1 species